rnacentral:rRNA from 1 species
AUUGAACGCUGGCGGCAGGCUUAACACAUGCAAGUCGAACGAGUGGCGGACGGGUGUGUAAUGCUUGGGAAUCUUGCCUAUGGAGGGGGAUCACUACGGGAACCUGUCGCUAAUCUCGCGUACCCUAGUGUGAGCCCACGUGGUAUUAGGUAGUUGGUGAGGUAAAGGCUCACCAAGCCGACGAUCUCUAGCUGGUCUGAGAGGAUGACCAGCCACACUGGGACUGAGAAACGGCCCAGACUCCUACGGGAGGCAGCAGUGGGGAAUAUUGCACAAUGGGGGCAACCUGACGCAGCCAUGCCGCGUGAGUGAAGAAGGCCUUCGGGUUGUAAAGUUCUUUCGGUGGCGAGGCGUUAACUACAGAAGAAGCACCGGCUAACUCCGUGCCAGCAGCCGCGGUAAUUC